UGAUCCUGGCUCAGAACGAACGCUGGCGGCACGCCUAACACAUGCAAGUCGAGCGCACCCUUCGGGGCGAGCGGCGGACGGGUUAGUAACGCGUGGGAACGUACCCUUUACUAAGGAAUAGCCUUUGGAAACGAAGAGUAAUACCUUAUACGCCCUUCGGGGGAAAGAUUUAUCGGUAAAGGAUCGGCCCGCGUUAGAUUAGAUAGUUGGUGGGGUAAUGGCCUACCAAGUCUACGAUCUAUAGCUGGUUUGAGAGGAUGAUCAGCAACACUGGGACUGAGACACGGCCCAGACUCCUACGGGAGGCAGCAGUGGGGAAUCUUGGACAAUGGGCGCAAGCCUGAUCCAGCCAUGCCGCGUGAGUGAAGAAGGCCUUAGGGUCGUAAAGCUCUUUCGCCAGGGAAGAUAAUGACGGUACCUGGUAAAGAAACCCCGGCUAACUCCGUGCCAGCAGCCGCGGUAAUACGGAGGGGGUUAGCGUUGUUCGGAAUUACUGGGCGUAAAGCGCACGUAGGCGGAUUAGUAAGUUAGGGGUGAAAUCCCAGGGCUCAACCCUGGAACUGCCUCUAAAACUGCUAGUCUUGAGUUCGAGAGAGGUGAGUGGAAUUCCAAGUGUAGAGGUGAAAUUCGUAGAUAUUUGGAGGAACACCAGUGGCGAAGGCGGCUCACUGGCUCGAUACUGACGCUGAGGUACGAAAGUGUGGGGAGCAAACAGGAUUAGAUACCCUGGUAGUCCAGACCGUUAACGAUGAAUGCCAGACGUCGAUCCAUAGGGUUUCAGUGACGCAGCUAACGCGAUAAGCAUACCGCCUGGGGAGUACGAUCGCAAGAUUAAAACUCAAAGGAAUUGACGGUGACCCGCACAAGCGGUGGAGCAUGUUGUUUAAUUCGAAGCAACGCGAAGAACCUUACCUACACUUGACAUACUCGUCGGGAUUUCCAGAGAUGGAUUUCUUCGGUUCGGCCGGACGAGAUACAGGUGCUGCAUGGCUGUCGUCAGCUCGUGUCGUGAGAUGUUAGGUUAAGUCCUGCAACGAGCGCAACCCUUAUCGUAUGUUGCCAUCAUUAAGUUGGGAACUCAUGCAGAACUGCCAGUGAUAAGCUGGAGGAAGGUGGGGAUGACGUCAAGUCCUCAUGGCCCUUACGUGUUGGGCUACACACGUGCUACAAUGGUAUCUACAACAGGAAGCAAGACUGCGAAGUUAAGCAAAUCCUUAAAAGAUACCUCAGUUCGGAUUGCACUCUGCAACUCGAGUGCAUGAAGCUGGAAUUACUAGUAAUCGUGGAUCAGCGUGCCACGGUGAAUGCGUUCCCGGGUCUUGUACACACCGCCCGUCACACCAUGGGAGUUGGGUUGACCCGAAGGUGGUGCGCCGACCUCAGCAAUGAGGGGGCAGCCAACCACGGUCAGUUCAGCGACUGGGGUGAAGUCGUAACAAGGUAACC
rnacentral:rRNA from 1 species